GAUGAACGCUGGCGGCGUGCCUAAUACAUGCAAGUCGAGCGAACAGACGAGUAGCUUGCUCCUCUGACGUUAGCGGCGGACGGGUGAGUAACACGUGGAUAACCUACCUAUAAGACUGGGAUAACUUCGGGAAACCGGAGCUAAUACCGGAUAAUAUAUUGAACCGCACGGUUCAAUAGUGAAAGACGGUUUUGCUGUCACUUAUAGAUGGAUCCGCGCCGCAUUAGCUAGUUGGUAAGGUAACGGCUUACCAAGGCAACGAUGCGUAGCCGACCUGAGAGGGUGAUCGGCCACACUGGAACUGAGACACGGUCCAGACUCCUACGGGAGGCAGCAGUAGGGAAUCUUCCGCAAUGGGCGAAAGCCUGACGGAGCAACGCCGCGUGAGUGAUGAAGGUCUUCGGAUCGUAAAACUCUGUUAUUAGGGAAGAACAAAUGUGUAAGUAACUAUGCACGUCUUGACGGUACCUAAUCAGAAAGCCACGGCUAACUACGUG
rnacentral:rRNA from 1 species